rnacentral:rRNA from 1 species
GAUGAACGCUGGCGGCGUGCUUAACACAUGCAAGUCGAACGGAAAGGCCCUGCUUUUGUGGGGUGCUCGAGUGGCGAACGGGUGAGUAACACGUGAGUAACCUGCCCUUGACUUUGGGAUAACUUCAGGAAACUGGGGCUAAUACCGGAUAGGAGCUCCUGCUGCAUGGUGGGGGUUGGAAAGUUUCGGCGGUUCGGGAUGGACUCGCGGCUUAUCAGCUUGUUGGUGGGGUAGUGGCUUACCAAGGCUUUGACGGGUAGCCGGCCUGAGAGGGUGACCGGCCACAUUGGGACUGAGAUACGGCCCAGACUCCUACGGGAGGCAGCAGUGGGGAAUAUUGCACAAUGGGCGGAAGCCUGAUGCAGCAACGCCGCGUGCGGGAUGACGGCCUUCGAGUUGUAAACCGCUUUCGCCUGUGACGAAGCGUGAGUGACGGUAAUGGGUAAAGAAGCACCGGCUAACUACGUG